rnacentral:rRNA from 1 species
AGCGAACGCUGGCGGCAGGCCUAACACAUGCAAGUCGAACGAACCUUUCGGGGUUAGUGGCGGACGGGUGAGUAACACGUGGGGACGUGCCUUUAGGUUCGGAAUAACUCAGGGAAACUUGUGCUAAUACCGAAUGUGCCCUUCGGGGGAAAGAUUUAUCGCCUUUAGAGCGGCCCGCGUCUGAUUAGCUAGUUGGUUGAGGUAAUGGCUCACCAAGGCGACGAUCAGUAGCUGGUCUGAGAGGAUGAUCAGCCACAUUGGGACUGAGACACGGCCCAAACUCCUACGGGAGGCAGCAGUGGGGAAUCUUGCGCGAUGGGCGAAAGCCUGACGCAGCCAUGCCGCGUGAAUGAUGAAGGUCUUAGGAUUGUAAAAUUCUUUCACCGGGGACGAUAAUGACGGUACCCGGAGAAGAAGCCCCGGCUAACUUCGUG